rnacentral:rRNA from 1 species
UACGUAGGGCGCAAGCGUUGUCCGGAAUUAUUGAGCGUAAAGAGCUCGUAGGCGGCUUGUCACGUCGGGUGUGAAAGCUCGGGGCUUAACCCCGGGUCUGCAUUCGAUACGGGCUGGCUGGAGUGUGGUAGGGGAGAUCGGAAUUCCUGGUGUAGCGGUGAAAUGCGCAGAUAUCAGGAGGAACACCGGUGGCGAAGGCGGAUCUCUGGGCCAUUACUGACGCUGAGGAGCGAAAGCGUGGGAGCGAACAGG